GUUAAUGUUGUUUCAAUGUGUGUGUAAUGCAAUUGCCAAUAGUAACAACAACAAUAACGACGACGAGAACAAACGAAAAAAAAAAAUCGUUUCGAUAACGUUUCGAAUCGUUUUGUUUAUCUUCUUUCCUGAAUAAUCACACGAAAGGAAUUUGAUUCGAUUUCGACAUUGACAACAACGAUAAAGAAAAACUUGUGUAAAAUUACGACAACGAAAUUACUUUUUUUUUGUUUGUAAAUGUUUUGAAUCGCGCAAACUCUGUUUUUUUUUGUGUUUCACAAACAAAAAAAAUACAUCAAUCAGCAAUAAUAAUAACAACAACGACGAA